GACGAACGCUGGCGGCGUGCCUAAUACAUGCAAGUCGAACGCUGAAGGAGGAGCUUGCUUCUCUGGAUGAGUUGCGAACGGGUGAGUAACGCGUAGGUAACCUGCCUGGUAGCGGGGGAUAACUAUUGGAAACGAUAGCUAAUACCGCAUAAGAGUAGAUGUUGCAUGACAUUUGCUUAAAAGGUGCAAUUGCAUCACUACCAGAUGGACCUGCGUUGUAUUAGCUAGUUGGUGGGGUAUCGGCUCACCAUGGCGACGAUACAUAGCCGACCGGAGAGGGUGAUCGGCCGCACUGGGACGGAGACACGGCCCAGUCGGCUUCAGGAAGCAGCAGGAGGGAAACUGCGGCAAUGGACGGAAGACUGACCGAGAUACGCCGCGGGAGUGAAGAAGGUCGUCGGGUCGGAAAGCUCGGUUGUAGGGGUAGAACGAGUGUGAGAGUGGAAAGUACACACUGUGACGGUAACUGACCAGAAAGGAACGGCUAACUACGUG
rnacentral:rRNA from 1 species